rnacentral:antisense_RNA from 1 species
AAUGAUUUGCCUAAAGUCACACAGCUCAUAAGGGCCAGAGCCUGCACUUUCAUCCACUAGCCUAUAUUCUGUGCUGUCAUCACUGAUAGCAGUGACUGAGACUGAGAGAAAAAGUCACUUAAGAGCCGAUGGCUGCUCUCCCACUCAGCUACAGUCCUGCGUCACCACUCCCUGCAGGGACCCCCAGCUCCACUUACCUUGUAGGGUACUUCUCCAAGCCUCACCACUCUUGCUUUCUUCAGCCAUGUGUCCCUGGAAUGCAGAGUGUGCACACAAUCCCUGCGGAACCAACACAGGAUACAAAGGUUUUCUUCUCCUCUGCUAUCCAGAGCCUGUGAGAGCUCCAGCUGUAGACUAUCAGGUUGGGGUAAAGGCCGCUGUGCACAGGCACACUCACAUUUACUACCACCACCAAGCGAGCACCUGC